UGAAUAUGGCCUCUCUUUUUUUUUUUAAUUUAAACAUGAAACACUUAAAUCAUAUAGGCUUUAUUUUUUUCCUGUUCUCUUUGACUGAAUCCCUAGCCCUACCCACAAAGCCUCAGGACAUAGAUCACCUCAGCGCUACCCAGAAAUUCAUAGACGAGAACACCGCUUACCUGACCAUUAUCGCAGUUUCUCAGUAUGUUCAGGAAGCAUCCUUUGAUGAGGUGGAAAUGCUGGUGAGAGCCAUGGUGGAUCACAAGAAUAGGUGCUUGGCUGACAGUACACUUCCGGAGUGUUCAAAAGCAGCUAACGAGGCUAUACAGGACUCAAUCUGCGCUAUGGAGGGGCUGCCCCAGAAGCGUAACUUUUCUCACUGCUGUGACAACGCCAGCAUUCCAAGAAGACUGUGUUUCUUCUUCAACAAGAAAGCUAACGUGGAAUUUCUACCCCCUUUCCCUACUCUGGAUCUAGAAGUGAAAUGCCAAUCUUAUAAAAAUAACAGUGAAUCUUUUCUAAACCACUAUAUGUAUGAGGUUGCCAGGAGGAACCCCUUUGCCUUCGCCCCUGUUCUUCUAACUGUCGCUGCUCGGUUUGAAGAGGCAGCGACCACGUGCUGUGAGCAGCAGCAAAAGGCCAUCUGCUUUCAAGUCAAGGCAGCUCCAAUCACACAAUAUUUAAAAGCAUUGUCUUCUUAUCAAAAAACUGUUUGUGGAGCCUUUAUGAAAUUUGGACCCAACAUCUUAAACUCUAUAAACAUUGCUGUAUUCAGUAAAAAAUUCCCCAAGAUUGGGUUUGAGGACCUUACUUCCCUCUUAGAAGACGUUCAUUCUAUGUAUGACGGAUGCUGUGAAGGGGAUGUUCUGCAGUGCCUCCGAAGCCAGAGCCAGGUGAUGAGUCAUAUUUGUUCAAAACAAGAUUCCAUCUCAAGUAAAAUCAAAGAGUGCUGUGGAAAGAGAACACCGGAGCGUGAAGACUGCAUAAUCAACACGAACAAGGACGACAGACCUGAAGGCUUAUCUCCCAGAGAACCCAAAUUUACUGACAGUGAAAAUGUGUGUCAAGAACGAGAUUCUAACCCGGACAAGUUCUUUGCUGAGUUUACUUAUGAAUACUCCAGGAGACAUGCUGAACUGUCUACACCGGAGCUUCUAAGAAUUACUAAAGUGUAUAAGGAUCUCCUGGAAGAUUGCUGCAGCAGAGAAAGCCCGGCAGCUUGUUACCGCCAUGCGGAGGAUAAAUUCAAUGAGACAACUGAGAGAAGCUUUGCAAUGGUUCAGCGGGAAUGCAGACACUUCCAGGAGCUGGGGAAGGAUGCUCUGAGAUCCCAUUACCUUGCCAAGUUCACGAAGGCAGCCCCUCAGCUCUCUGUGGAAGAACUGAUCUCCCUUAGUAAGGAAAUGGUGGCAGCGCUGGCAACCUGCUGCACCCUGAGUGAAGAGUUCGCUUGUGUCGAUAGCUUGGCGGAUUUGGUUCUUGGAGAAUUAUGUGGAAUAAAUGAAAACCGAACUAUCAAUCCUGCUGUGGACCAGUGCUGCAAGGCAGACUUCGCUUUCAGAAGGCACUGCUUUGAGCGUCUGAAAGCUGACACAACCUAUGUGCUCCCAUCGGUCUCUGCACUUGUAUCUGCUUUGGAUGCAGACUGGUGCCAGACUUACCAGGAGGACCUUCAGGAUAAGAAAGACAGGUUUAUGGUCAACUUGGUGAAGUGGAUGCCAGAGAUAAUGGAUGAGGAGCGCUUAUGUUUGCUCGCAAAGUUCACGGCUGCUGGGGAGAAGUGUGGCCAAGUGCAGGAGCCUGAAGCCUGUUUCAGCCCAGCGGUAGGGUUCAAAAAUUGAUAAUGAAAGUCAGGCUGCUGAGAAGCAAAUAUAAAUAUGAGAGCGUUCUUUUGUCUGAAUCAGAAAAGAGAGUCAGCCGAGUCUCUAGAGAGCCAGUACCAGCUUACAGUCUCCUUCUCUGUUCUGAAGUUCAGUUCCUAAGAAGAAGGGAAUAGAAGGUUCUUCUGUAACCCUUACUUGAAUCAUGUUCCUGUAAAAGGCAAUAAAGUGAAAGUAUAAUGAUA